rnacentral:rRNA from 1 species
GGGCUCACGGCCUAUCAGCUUGUUGGUGGGGUAAUGGCUCACCAAGGCGACGACGGGUAGCCGGCCUGAGAGGGUGACCGGCCACACUGGGACUGAGACACGGCCCAGACUCCUACGGGAGGCAGCAGUGGGGAAUAUUGCACAAUGGGCGGAAGCCUGAUGCAGCGACGCCGCGUGAGGGAUGACGGCCUUCGGGUUGUAAACCUCUUUCAGCACGGAAGAAGCGAGAGUGACGGUACGUGCAGAAGAAGCGCCGGCUAACUACGUGCCAGCAGCCGCGGUAAUACGUAGGGCGCAAGCGUUGUCCGGAAUUAUUGGGCGUAAAGAGCUCGUAGGCGGUUUGUCGCGUCUGCUGUGAAAGCCCGGGGCUUAACCCCGGGUGUGCAGUGGGUACGGGCAGACUUGAGUGCAGUAGGGGAGACUGGAAUUCCUGGUGUAGCGGUGAAAUGCGCAGAUAUCAGGAGGAACACCGAUGGCGAAGGCAGGUCUCUGGGCUGUUACUGACGCUGAGGAGCGAAAGCAUGGGGAGCGAACAGGAUUAGAUACCCUGGUAGUCCAUGCCGUAAACGUUGGGCACUAGGUGUGGGGAACAUUC